CCUUUAGAAAUCCAUGACCUCACGUAAGGAAAGGGGUUGAACCGGGCAAGCGGCGGGCCGACAAGGCAAAUGAAAAGUAGGGAGGAGAUGGUAGAGGUGGUAGCAUAUUCCCUGAAAGCCCUGAUGACAUUCCGCGGGCUAUUGAUGCAAAACUGCUGGCAGAGCGUCUCAACUUCUCUCUCCCCGAACAGCGCGUCACCCUCCUGUGGCCAAUAUUGUGGAUAAAGCACUUUCAAAUCCUCGAUUAGCUUGUUGUAUCCUGUUUGGUCUUUCCCCUAUUUCUAAAGACUAAUAAGAAAGAUAUCAACAUUGAACACUACACAAACAGUAAUUUAUUUAUUUUUCGUUUAGGCGAUUUAUUUUUUAUAUUGACGUAGGAGCUGAGGAUCCAAUAAAAAAGGUUCCGGAUCCAACGUCGGAGGUGCCGGAACAUGUUCCGGCGUGUUCCGGCUCAAAUUAAGCCCUGACUGCAAAUCUAUUGA